UGGAGCCGCGCACCGAGGGUCCCUCUUGAGCACGGCCUUGCGGGCUCGGCGGGGUGAAAGGUUGCAAAGAUGGCGACGGCCUUGAGCGAGGAGGAGCUGGACAAUGAAGACUAUUACUCGUUGCUGAACGUGCGCAGGGAGGCCUCUUCUGAAGAGCUGAAAGCUGCCUACCGCAGGCUGUGUAUGCUCUACCAUCCCGACAAGCACAGAGACCCAGAGCUCAAAUCACAGGCGGAACGACUGUUUAACCUUGUUCACCAGGCUUAUGAAGUGCUCAGCGACCCGCAGACCAGGGCCAUCUAUGACAUCUAUGGCAAGAGAGGACUGGAAAUGGAAGGAUGGGAGGUUGUGGAAAGGAGGAGGACUCCAGCCGAAAUCAGAGAGGAGUAUGAGCGGCUGCAGCGAGAGAGGGAGGAGAGGCGGCUGCAGCAGCGGACCAACCCCAAGGGGACCAUCAGCGUCGGCAUCGAUGCCACCGACCUUUUUGAUCGCUACGAGGAGGAGUACGAAGAUGUGUCGGGAAGUGGCUUUCCACAGAUUGAAAUUAACAAGAUGCACAUAUCACAGUCCAUUGAGGCACCCUUGACCGCUUCAGACACAGCCAUCCUCUCUGGAAGCCUCUCAACCCAGAAUGGAAACGGAGGGGGGUCCAUUAACUUCGCGCUCAGACGAGUCACUUCUGCAAAGGGAUGGGGUGAGUUAGAAUUCGGAGCUGGGGAUCUGCAGGGACCUUUAUUUGGCCUGAAGCUGUUCCGUAAUCUCACACCAAGAUGCUUCGUGACGACGAACUGUGCUCUGCAGUUCUCGUCGCGCGGCAUCCGGCCCGGCCUCACCACCGUCCUGGCUCGGAACCUGGACAAGAACACCGUGGGCUACCUGCAGUGGCGCUGGGGCAUCCAGUCAGCCAUGAACACCAGCAUCGUACGGGACACCAAAACCAGCCACUUCACCGUGGCGCUGCAACUCGGAAUCCCUCACUCCUUCGCACUGAUCAGUUAUCAGCACAAGUUCCAGGAUGACGACCAGACCCGAGUCAAAGGCUCCCUCAAGGCAGGCUUCUUCGGGACGGUGGUGGAGUACGGAGCGGAGAGGAAGAUCUCCAGGCACAGUGUCUUAGGGGCAGUGGUCAGCGUUGGAGUCCCCCAGGGCGUCUCUCUCAAAGUCAAGUUAAACAGGGCCAGUCAGACCUACUUCUUCCCGAUUCACCUGACGGACCAGCUGCUCCCCAGCGCCGUGUUCUAUGCCACCGUGGGGCCGCUCGUGCUCUACUUCGCAAUGCACCGCCUGGUCAUCAAACCCUACCUCAGGGCCCAGAAGGAGAAGGAGCUGGAAAAGCAGAGGGAAAGCACAGCCACCGACAUUCUGCAGAAGAAACAGGAGGCAGAAGCUGCGGUCCGACUGAUGCAGGAAUCGGUCCGAAGAAUAAUCGAGGCCGAAGAGUCCAGAAUGGGUGAGGUGGAUGGCAGGGCCUCUCUGGGGUGGGGGAUGCCAGGGGCCCCCGCCCUGACCACGCCUGUCUGCAGGGCUCAUCAUUGUCAACGCCUGGUACGGCAAGUUCGUCAGCGACAGGAGCAAGAGGCACGAGAGGGUCAAGGCCAUCGACGUGACCGUGCCCCUGCAGUGCCUGGUCAGGGACUCCAAGCUCAUCCUCACCGAGGCCUCCAAGGUGCGGCGCCCGCUGCAGACAGAACCUGCUCGCUGCCUGCGCGGGGCUCAGCCUGCUCCCCUCGACUCCCCAGACGGUUGAGACCCCUGGAGCCCAGCAGGGAGAGACGGAGGAGAAUUGAAGUGCGGGGGAGGGGCGGUCCCUGCUGGGCUGGGGCUUUCACUGCUGUGGCCCAAGUUCAAAACCUCUUCUGGGAACCAAGAUCCCACAUCAGACCGCUGCACGUCACAGCCAGAAAAUAAAGUGCAGAGGAGCUUGGGCCAAAGAACUUCGGGUUCCCUGAGCAGGCUCCAGCUUCCUCCCCCUUAGUGGGGCUUCGGUGACGAUGGAGCUGCGGAUAGUGUGGCAGAAGGGGCCCGGUUUGGUUUGGUUUUGUUUUUAGCAACGCCCAUGGAAAUGGCCAGGCCAGGGAUCAAACCUGCACCCACAGCAGCAACCCAAGCCACUGCAGUGAUGGUGCAAGGUCCUUAAGCCACUGAGCCACAAGGGAACUACCCCCAAGGGGCCAGUUUUGAGAGGGAAGCCUAGGACUCUAGGCACCUUUCUGAAAUGCUCCUUUGUUUUCCUCUAGCCCCCAAGCGGGCGCGCUUUGCAGGGAGCUCCUGAGGGCAAGUCCGGGCCCUUCCCUGCUGCACCUCCAGGUGGCAGCAGACGGCAGCGCUGCGGGCUUUCCGUCCCCAGUGCGCAUCUGUCUCUUACAGGCGGGGCUGCCUGGGUUCUAUGACCCGUGUGUGGGGGAAGAGAAGAACCUGAAAGUGCUCUACCAGUUCCGAGGCGUCCUGCAUCAGGUGAUGGCGCUGGACAGCGAGGCGCUCAGGAUACCAAAGCAGUCUCACAGGAUUGAUACUGAUGGAUAAAGGGCUUGAGAAACCGGAUUAAAAGGAGGCUGCAAAAAAUCAUUUCCUGGGAAUCUACAAAUUUGGAAGCAGGGAAAAUACCCAGACCUGAGGCGUGUUUAUUUCGUGUCUCCGUUGGAGGGUGGUGCCGGAUGGGUCACGUGAAGGGGCACGGUCACGGGCACCGCCUCCCCGGGGGCCAAGCUGGGACCCGAGCCGCCGCUCUUCCCAAGGAUCGAGUCCCCGCAGGCAGGGGCCUCCCCAGGCCCCUGAGCUCAGGCGCCGGCUGCGCCACCCAGCAGCCCUCGGGCCGCCGUAGGUAUUUAUGAACUUCCUCCCCCCACGCACAGGACUGUGAACUACUUUUCCUAAAACCCACACUGAGCUCGGCAAUCGGAUGGAAGGAGGGGCAGUUCCCCCGGGCAGAGCGAGCGGGUCUCCAGAUCAAGUGAGCCUCUGUCCCGUCUGCGUCCAGAGAACCACCUUUUCCUGCUGAAAUGUCACUAGAGGAUUGCGUGGGUUUAUAAAUCUGCUUUUUAUCUGAGAACAAA